UAAAAGGUAUUAGUAUAAAAUAGUGAACUCAUUCUAGAUUUCUUUGUAGAAAUAUAAGAUUAAAAGUAGGCCCCUCCUGGGGUUUCGUAGUUUCUUACUUUGCACCCCUGUAGUUUAAAAUGUAUCAAUUUUCCCCCCUAUGAUUUUGUUUUUAUCUUUUUCUUAUCAAUUUCAUUAUUUUUUUUCUUAAAUCAGUGAUAAAGUUAAAAUUAAAGGGUAAUAAAGUGAAUAUUUGAUAAAUCUAGAUGGGUAUCUGAAGCUUUUUGUAUAUAAUUUAAUGAAAUAUUAACGAAAAAGCUACGGAAAAGAUAAAAACGAAACCACGUGGGGGCAAAUUGAUAUAUUUUAAAUCACAGGGGGGCAAAAUGAGAAACUACGAGACCACAGAGGGGGUUUUUGAAGUUUUCCCUUAAAAGUAUAAGAUUAUCAUAACUAAGAUGCAUUCUGAUCUCCAUUCUUAUAUGAAAAUCAUUAAUAGUACGUCUAUUAAGAAGAGUAUAAUAAUUUUUAACAAUCUCUUAAUUCAUAGAUAAUAUUUUUGAAAUAUUACGAAUCUAGAACCAAAUGGUCUCGUAAUAUCUUAAUAUAUUUUAUCUAAACCCACACACAAGAUCCAGCUAAGCGAUGGAUAUUUAAUUUAAGCAAGAACUAGCUAUUAUAAGGAUAGGUAUAAGUAUGGAGAUAAGAAAAAUAGUGUUUGGAUGAAAAUUAGAUUGUUUCCGAAGAUAAGAAAAAUAACGUUUGGAUAGAUAAUAUGGAAUAAAAAAAAUAGUAGAUAGUUAUAUAUAAAAAAUGAAAGUGUUGGUGAAAAUAAUUAUACCAGUUUAUUUCAGGUAGCCGAGAAUUACUAUUCUCGGAUAAAAAAUUUACGUUUGGAUAUAAAAGGGGAUAAGGGAUAAUCCCUCCCCUUAUCCCUAAUC
rnacentral:lncRNA from 1 species